rnacentral:lncRNA from 1 species
CAUCUUUGGAAUUGGCUGGAGCAAAAGAAUUAGGUUAGAUUUAGAGCAUUUAUUAAAUUAGAUGUAUAAUCUAAAAAGUCAAUUAUUAACUAGCAUAUUGUAUUAUUCUAGGAUAUAUUUUAUACUUGAUUUAUUGAAAUUAAUAAAUAGAUAUUUUUCUUAUCCAUUCAUGGGUAAUGUGUCUGUGAAUCGUCAAGGAG